CAUGGUCUUAGCUUGCUAAGACUGAUGGCGACCGGCGCACGGGUGCGUAACGCGUAUGCAACUUGCCUCACAGAGGGGGAUAACCCGUCGAAAGACGGACUAAUACCGCGUACACUCUAUGUUGGGCAUCCAAUGUAGAGGAAAUGAAAUUCGCUGUGAGAUAGGCAUGCGUCCCAUUAGCUAGUUGGUGAGGUAACGGCUCACCAAGGCGACGAUAGGUAGGGGAACUGAGAGGUUGAACCCCCACACUGGUACUGAGACACGGACCAGACUCCUACGGGAGGCAGCAGUGAGGAAUAUUGGUCAAUGGGCGAGAGCCUGAACCAGCCAAGUCGCGUGAAGGAUGACUGUCUUAUGGAUUGUAAACUUCUUUUAUACGGGAAUAACAAGAGUCACGUGUGGCUCCCUGCAUGUACCGUAUGAAUAAGCAUCGGCUAACUCCGUGCCAGCAGCCGCGGUAAUACGGAGGAUGCGAGCGUUAUCCGGAUUUAUUGGGUUUAAAGGGUGCGUAGGCGGCCUGUUAAGUCAGCGGUGAAAUCUAGGAGCUUAACUCCUAAAUUGCCAUUGAUACUGGCGGGCUUGAGUGUAGAUGAGGUAGGCGGAAUGCGUGGUGUAGCGGUGGAAUGCAUAGAUAUCACGCAGAACUCCGAUUGCGAAGGCAGCUUACUAAGGUACAACUGACGCUGAAGCACGAAAGCGUGGGUAUCAAACAGGAUUAGAUACCCUGGUAGUCCACGCAGUAAACGAUGAUAACUGGGCGUAUGCGAUAUACAGUAUGCUCCUAA
rnacentral:rRNA from 1 species